GAUGAACGCUGGCGGCGUGCCUAAUACAUGCAAGUCGAGCGAACAGACGAGGAGCUUGCUCCUCUGACGUUAGCGGCGGACGGGUGAGUAACACGUGGAUAACCUACCUAUAAGACUGGGAUAACUUCGGGAAACCGGAGCUAAUACCGGAUAAUAUAUUGAACCGCAUGGUUCAAUAGUGAAAGACGGUUUUGCUGUCACUUAUAGAUGGAUCCGCGCCGCAUUAGCUAGUUGGUAAGGUAGCGGCUUACCAAGGCGACGAUGCGUAGCCGACCUGAGAGGGGGAUCGGCCACACUGGAAGUGAGACACGGUCCAGACUCCUACGGGAGGCAGCAGUAGGGAAUCUUCCGCAGUGGGCGAAAGCCUGACGGAGCAACGCCGCGUGAGUGAUGAAGGUCUUCGGAUCGUAAAACUCUGUUAUUAGGGAAGAACAAAUGUGUAAGUAACUAUGCACGUCUUGACGGUACCUAAUCAGAAAGCCACGGCUAACUACGUG
rnacentral:rRNA from 1 species